rnacentral:lncRNA from 1 species
GGGGUGUGCCCGCGCCUCACACAAAGGCGGCGGUUGGGCGGGAGGCGCAUGCGCAGGGAGGGGUUGGCGCACCCACGUGGUGCUGGGUGAGGUGCAUGUUGUGGUUCUGCUCCUGACACAGCUCUUUUGCCAUGCAGGAAGCCUCUGAGGAAGUUGCCCUGCAGCUAACUGAAAAACAUGGCUUCAAUGUGAGAAGUAACUGAAGCACACAUUGGCAGUGGGUGGCAGAAGGGCCCAAGGUUUCAAAAGCAAACUGCAUGGGACCGCUGAAGAAACAGUCCAUUGAAAACCCACCUCAUGUAAGUUUUAGGCAAAGGUGGUCUCCAGCCCUUUCAAGCAGAAUUUCAAGUUGCUGAGCUCAUCCUCCAGCACCACUUGGUACUACUCAGGGUAGCACUUCCAUUGCCAGGAUCCAGCUCAGUAGAACAGUCCAUCUUUGCUCUCAUCAUUUGGCCCAAGCACACCUCAGCACCCAGCAAGUUCCCUCAUUCCUACUGAAGAGAUGGGAAUCCAGUGUUCAUCCUGAGUACCCUGCUACACCUUCUGCUUCCGUUUCCAUUUGCAAGAAGUGUUUGCUGCUUCUGUGGAAUUUAUUAAAGAUUUCUUUAAUAAAACUACUGUUG